CUGAUCUGUAGAGGUUAAACAACACAACUCAAUCUGAUCUGUAGAGGUAAAACAACACAACUCAAUCUGAUCUGUUGAGGAGGUGAAACAACACAACUCAAUCUGAUCUGUAGAGGUAAAACAACACAACUCAAUCUGAUCUGUAAAGGUAAAACAACACAACUCAAUCUGAUCUGUUGAGGUUAAACAACACAACUCAAUCUGAUCUGUAGAGGAGGUGAAACAACACAACUCAAUCUGAUCUGUAGAGGAGGUAAAACAACACUACUCAAUCUGAUCUGUAGAGGUAAAACAACACAACUCAAUCUGAUCUGUAGAGGAGGUUAAACAACACAACUCAAUCUGAUCUGUAGAGGAGGUUAAACAACACAACUCAAUCUGAUCUGUAGAGGUGAAACAACACUACUCAAUCUGAUCUGUAGAGGAGGUUAAACAACACAACUCAAUCUGAUCUGUAGAGGUGAAACAACACAACUCAAUCUGAUCUGUAGAGGUAAAACAACACAACUCAAUCUGAUAUGUAGAGGAGGUUAAACAACACUACUCAAUCUGAUCUGUAGAGGAGGUUAAACAACACAACUCAAUCUGAUCUGUAGAGGAGGUUAAACAA